GCUGGAUGCAGUGGUGGGCGCCUGUAGUCCCAGCUACUGGGGAGGCUGAGACAGAAGGAUCACUUGAGUCCAGGAGUUUUGGGCCCUAGUGCACCAUGCCAAUCAGUGUCUGCACUGUUUGGCAUCAAUAUGCCAACCUCCUGGGAGCAUGGGGCCACCAGGUUGCCUCAGGAAGGGUCAACUGGCCCAGGUCAGAAACAGAGCAGGUCAAAACUCCCGUGCUGAUCAGUAGUGGAACUGCACCUGUAAAUACCCAGCUGUAAAUACUCCAGCCUGGGCAACACGGCGAGACUCCAUCUCAA
rfam:Otolemur garnettii contig180043, whole genome shotgun sequence.